rnacentral:rRNA from 1 species
CGAACGGGCUUCUUCGGAAGUCAGUGGCAGACGGGUGAGUAACACGUGGGAACGUGCCCUUCGGUUCGGAAUAACUCAGGGAAACUUGAGCUAAUACCGGAUACGCCCUUUUGGGGAAAGGUUGACUGCCGAAGGAUCGGCCCGCGUCUGAUUAGCUUGUUGGUGGGGUAACGGCCUACCAAGGCGACGAUCAGUAGCUGGUCUGAGAGGAUGAUCAGCCACACUGGGACUGAGACACGGCCCAG